rnacentral:rRNA from 1 species
CCUAGCGGCGGACGGGUGAGUAAUGCUUAGGAAUCUGCCUAUUAGUGGGGGACAACAUUCCGAAAGGGAUGCUAAUACCGCAUACGUCCUACGGGAGAAAGCAGGGGACCUUCGGGCCUUGCGCUAAUAGAUGAGCCUAAGUCGGAUUAGCUAGUUGGUGGGGUAAAGGCCUACCAAGGCGACGAUCUGUAGCGGGUCUGAGAGGAUGAUCCGCCACACUGGGACUGAGACACGGCCCAGACUCCUACGGGAGGCAGCAGUGGGGAAUAUUGGACAAUGGGGGGAACCCUGAUCCAGCCAUGCCGCGUGUGUGAAGAAGGCCUUAUGGUUGUAAAGCACUUUAAGCGAGGAGGAGGCUACCUAGAUUAAUACUCUAGGAUAGUGGACGUUACUCGCAGAAUAAGCACCGGCUAACUCUGUGCCAGCAGCCGCGGUAAUACAGAGGGUGCGAGCGUUAAUCGGAUUUACUGGGCGUAAAGCGUGCGUAGGUGGCUAAUUAAGUCAAAUGUGAAAUCCCCGAGCUUAACUUGGGAAUUGCAUUCGAUACUGGUUAGCUAGAGUAUGGGAGAGGAUGGUAGAAUUCCAGGUGUAGCGGUGAAAUGCGUAGAGAUCUGGAGGAAUACCGAUGGCGAAGGCAGCCAUCUGGCCUAAUACUGACACUGAGGUACGAAAGCAUGGGGAGCAAACAGGAUUAGAUACCCUGGUAGUCCAUGCCGUAAACGAUGUCUACUAGCCGUUGGGGUCUUUGAGACUUUAGUGGCGCAGCUAACGCGAUAAGUAGACCGCCUGGGGAGUACGGUCGCAAGACUAAAACUCAAAUGAAUUGACGGGGGCCCGCACAAGCGGUGGAGCAUGUGGUUUAAUUCGAUGCAACGCGAAGAACCUUACCUGGCCUUGACAUAGUAGAAACUUUCCAGAGAUGGAUUGGUGCCUUCGGGAAUCUACAUACAGGUGCUGCAUGGCUGUCGUCAGCUCGUGU